GCCUGGGUGGCUCAGUUGGUUGAGCGGCCGACUUCGGCUCAGGUCACGAUCUUGCAGUCCGUGAGUUCGAGCCUCACAUCGGGCU
rnacentral:tRNA from 1 species